AGAGUUUGAUUAUGGCUCAGGACGAACGCUGGCGGCGUGCCUAAUACAUGCAAGUAGAACGCUGAAGAGAGGAGCUUGCUCUUCUUGGAUGAGUUGCGAACGGGUGAGUAACGCGUAGGUAACCUGCCUUGUAGCGGGGGAUAACUAUUGGAAACGAUAGCUAAUACCGCAUAACAAUGGAUGACACAUGUCAUUUAUUUGAAAGGGGCAAUUGCUCCACUACAAGAUGGACCUGCGUUGUAUUAGCUAGUAGGUGAGGUAACGGCUCACCUAGGCGACGAUACAUAGCCGACCUGAGAGGGUGAUCGGCCACACUGGGACUGAGACACGGCCCAGACUCCUACGGGAGGCAGCAGUAGGGAAUCUUCGGCAAUGGGGGCAACCCUGACCGAGCAACGCCGCGUGAGUGAAGAAGGUUUUCGGAUCGUAAAGCUCUGUUGUAAGUCAAGAACGAGUGUGAGAGUGGAAAAUUCACACUGUGACGGUAGCUUACCAGAAAGGGACGGCUAACUACGUGCCAGCAGCCGCGGUAAUACGUAGGUGGCGAGCGUUAUCCGGAAUGAUUGGGCGUAAAGGGUGCGUAGGUGGCAGAUCAAGUCUGGAGUAAAAGGUAUGGGCUCAACCCGUACUGGCUCUGGAAACUGAUCAGCUAGAGAACAGAAGAGGACGGCGGAACUCCAUGUGUAGCGGUG
rnacentral:rRNA from 1 species